GGGCAACCAGGACCAAAGGGACAGAAAGGAGAACCUGGAGACAUCAAGGAUAUUGUAGGACCCAAAGGACCUCCUGGGCCUCAGGGACCUGCAGGUGAACAAGGACCCAGAGGUGAUCGUGGUGACAAAGGUGAAAAAGUGAGUAGAGAAACAAUGCUGUCUGACCCUUGUGGACUGCCAAGGUUCUCUAAGCUCCCCCCCC